GGACAUUUUCAUUUUGCCACGUCACACCAAUUUGAGCUGUUUUUUUACAUGAUCCGUAAGUCGUAAAUAUUGGCCCAUAAGCCCAAUCCAGAAACCUAAAACGCCGAAGCUUGCUAAAACCUAUCCAUUAAAUUAAACUCUGUUUCUGGUACGUUACUUUUUUGUUUCAAUAAACUUUUCGUCUUCUUCUCUUCCUUAUUAACAAGCUUCUCCUUUGAAGUCUCAAGGGCUCUUCCAUCUCGAGUUCUGCUUCUCAUGCCGUCUAAGACCUCUCUCGAUGCCGCUGCAUCUCUGACUCCACCACUGCGCCUCCGACUACUCUACGCUGCGCCUCCUCCUUUGCGAGCGGCUCCAUAUCUCCUCCUCGGCCUCAGUAUCAUACGCGACUCCUAAUUUCUUUUGCUUCUCUUUCUGUCGCCGGCAAUCGUGGCUAAUCCUCUUGGAUCUGCUCUGAGGGAAGUUAUCGACAGAUAUAGUGAAUGGGAGUAUUAAAUCACAGAUGAAUGGACAAUACUAUGGAUCCUGAACUCAUGUUUUUACCGUUGGAAAGAUGAUUUUGAGGAUGGAUCACAACGGCUUCAGCCCCAAAACGAGAUUCAGCCUCGCUGCUUCUUCUCUUGCUGUAGCGACGUUGGUUGUCCCCAUCUUCUUCCCGACUUGGCCAACGAGAAUGAGAACAGUAACAGAGGCUCAUCAGAUCGUGAUCUGAUUUCUGUCGGCAUGCGGUUGGAUCCUAACGGUAAAAUCGCUGUGGAAUGGGACCCCGUUGGUGCAUUUUACUUUUCAGUGCCUCAGAUACCUUAAAGUUUUGAAUCUUUGAACUGAUUUUCUGGAGGAGAUUUGUUUGACUAAUAUGUAUGCUUUGUAUAAACUAGCUGAUGCAGAUGCAUGUUGAAUUUAACGAAUUUGGUGGAAUCUCAAUGUUUGAUGCAACUCUUGCUUGGGACAAUGAAACCGUCUUGGACGCUGUAGAAUGUUAUUGAAGCACUUUAGGAGACUAUACUUUUUGAUUCUACAACAAAUUGUCUGAGUGUUUUUUUUUACGCUCAAGCCAACCAUCUAUGAUGAGCACCAAUAACAUUGUGCUUCUUAAACGACAAAAAUGAGAGCAUUCUCCUUUUUUAUAUAUCAAAACUUAUUUUUCCUAUUUGAAUUUGUGUGAAUAUCAAAUAUUAUAGAAUCUUUUUAUGUUUUUAUAAACUAUUUAGUGGGUAGGAUAUAAUAUAAGAAAGGAGAAUGCUCUCAUUUUUGUUGUUAUAGUGUUGCGUCUAGGUUUCUCACAUAUUUGUGGUAUUAAAAAUCUUUUUAAUAGUUGGCCAAGAUACCAAGAUUGAAUUCAGAAUACAUAAACAGUUCAUUCGAUGUUGGAAAGUUUCUCUUAAUUGUAUUACUUUUAUUAUAAUCUUAUGAGUUGUAGAUGGGAGGUUAAGCUCUAAUUCAUGUAUUGUAUUUUACUUUUAUUCUUUCUUUGAAAUAUUAUCAAAGGGAUAUCAUCUGGGUGAAAAAAAAUCCCGUAGAAGUUGUAUAUCCCACUCCUUAGUAUCAUUCCUAAUAAAAGAUUGAACAACGAGUUGAAGUAGUCUGUAUACAAUGUGAUCAGCAGGUCUAGGUGGUCGAGCCACUACAUCUGGAACCCAAGAUUCACUCCAAACCCUUGUAUCUUGACAUGUGCCUAUCGUUUUGCGUAAACCCGAUAUGAGUAGAGGUUUUGCUAUCAUGAUACUACGGCAUCCAUAAGAUGGUGAGUAUGUACGCCGAUCUUCCAAAGGAGCGAUCUGAUUAUUAUCACAUGUUUUAAAAGGAAGACAUCAUAUAUUUGUUUAACCACUUAAAUAUUGACGAAAAUACAUUUUCAACUUGUUCUAAUAUUUCAUAGUAAAUAUAUUUAAUUUUUAGAUGAUAAUUAAUGUUCAACACGAAAAACAUGUAUAUAAAUGUGUUUAUUGAAAUAGUAAUACUCUUUAUUCUUUUAAUAUU